UGUAGUCUGUACGCUGUAAAGUAUCAUUCGAAGAUCAUUUCUGAUAACUGAUGCUAAUCGAUAAGUCCUGUUCGCAAACUAUCCUCAAACAGUUGUGUACAUAUUGUAAAGUAGGGCCGAUGCGAUAAACUUCCUAGAGAACCCAAAUCAUGCUAUUAGUCCCUAAACGUCUAAGAUUCAUUUGAAAUUCUCGACUGUUGAUAUCUUCGGGAUCCAGCAACUUCACUGAAACGACGAGCAUAACCUAAGGUUCAAAGGAAACUCUACAUAAGCACGGAAAUUUUAUUGCUGUUCGGAUACAAAAAUGCACACCGAUCCCGUUCCCAAACGGGAACUGGUCAGUUGGAGAUUGUUCAUCUUUGGUUUACUGGCGAUAUUCUGCGGAUUGGGACUAAUACUCCUGGAAAUUGUCACUGCCUUUAAACUCGGAUGGUCAGCAGCAUAUCUCCAUGCCUUGGCUGUUCGGGCCUUUACCGGCUUGCUUUACAUUGUAGCAGGUACUGCGGAAAUCUGCGCUUGUCGCUCCGUGAAUAUUGAGGACAGGGAACAAAGUCGGCAAGCCUUAUUCCUAUUCGACAGCAUGGCACGACAGUCUGUCACCUGCACUGCACUUUCGAGCGUCCUUGGCAUCGUUAGGGCUGUUCGUGGUCGUUAUGACCUUGGAGCCGUAUUACCCUCUGGGAUGGCACUGCUGGGCUAUCCAAUGUCCGGAUACCGUUGCCAGCCUCGCGACGCUUAGGACGGCAUUUAUAGUCUGCAUUGUCGGGAUUGCGCUUGUCUGUUCGUUAAUCGAGUGCCUUUUAACAUAUAAGUAUGCGAAAAAGUCUACCAGUACAAGUAUUGUCGAUUCUGAUGACGAACCGUUGCUGGGAUCUCAAGAAGAUCUGACGGCCGGGGACAUUGUGAAAAAGAUUGUGGAGACAGCAGGAAAAUUAGUCACUGCCAGUGACGAGCAACGUCAGAUGGUUUUUGCAACAAAUGCCAGCGGAUACUGCUAACAAUUACGGACAACAAUACCACCAGCAGUUAUUUGCGCAAAUAUAGUUCAGUGAUCAAUGAUCCUCAUUGAGUGAUAAACAUUCAGUGGUACUUACGGUUAGGUUGGUUAAGCACAACUGUCAUUCUUUUUGGUAAUAUGGAUGUUUUGGGCUUUUGGAAAUGUUUGACUGAUCUUAUACGUAUGUAAAAUUAUCUUCUGCUUGUUCUCAGUGAAUUUUCGGUUGAUUAAAUAAGUUUUGCACAUGCUGAACUUUAGAUAGGUGCCGAUAAAGGGCGACG